ACCAGAUCAUCGCUGCAGUUACGAAAGAUGGGAUGGGGGGGGGGUUCCCAAAAUUUGUUGUUCUGAACACAACCAACAAACGGUCCCUUUCUUGAUUUUUGAAUACGUAGAAAUAAGGUAUCACAUCGAAGCUAAGCGGUACAAAAAACAUCAUUCAGGAGUUGAAAACAAAGCAUCAAAAGUUACAUAAAUUGUCAUUGAUGGUAGUUUAAAUAAAAAGCCGGAGACGUAUCAUGAGAUAAAUGAUAAAGCGUUGAAUUAUUAUUUAUUAUUAUAUUAUAUUAGGUUAUUCUGCCUAAAGUGGUAUUCCACAUAUCUCGUUUGCUUUAAAUAAAAUAAAAACCCUUAAAGUAAGUAGAUUUUGAACUAAAGGCGAUAUACGCGGUAAAAUCGGUAAAAUGAUAACUAACCCGGGUAGUCAGCGCCCCUAGCGGAUGCCCCAAAAUUUUCUCAAGCUUUAGCAGACGCCAAAGCAAGCAGACGACAGUUCUUCGACGGUCAGACCUAUUGCCAUGCCGGUUCGACAGGGCAUGCACUUUUUUGGGCGAGUUACCAAAAGGACUCCAGGGUAAACGACUUUUGGUUGCAGGUUUCCGACACUUGGACAUCUGGCACACGACGACAGGACAUCUGCCCAUCGACUUUAGGACUAGUGGUUCCCGACAUUUGGACACACAACAAAAUGUUGCUGAACCCAAUUAGCAGAAUACUCGACCAGUACUCAGCGACGAAAAGACUUCCAGUUAAACGACGAGUGGACUCCCAGGCAAUCGACGUUCGAACUCCCGGGAACUCCUCUUCCAGCGACAAAAGGACUCCCAAUCCAGUGACGCACGGAUUUGCUUAUUUGUUGCAGCUGAAGGAUCGUUAAGAACAUAG